rnacentral:lncRNA from 1 species
UAUCACUAAUGGAGUUUAACAAGAUCACAGCCAGCUGAUCCUUAGAUAAUUUCUCAUCACAGUUGGCAAGGUCUUGGGUCAAUUUUGUAAAUUUGUCCAAGUUUUCAUCCAAGUCAACCGAAGGGUUCAUUUUGAAAGAAAAGAAUUGUUUUAGCAAAAAAUAUUUGUUUGGAACAGUUUUUGGCUCAUACUGAGCUUUCAAUUUGGUCCACAAUUUUUCAGUAGUUUUAGUUUCACACCUGAUCAUAUUGUCCGAAAGGUACAAGAAAAUAGUACUCCGUGCUAUUUAUUCUAACUUAGCUCUUUUAGCAACAGACAUUUCAGCAGGCCAUGAAUUAUCUAGGGCUUUAGCACAUUUCGUUUGCAUUAAGAUAGCUCUCAUUUUCUGGCUUCACGUAUUAAAGUCCCCCCUACCAUUAAACAUGCUCAAUUCAAACUUAGUGGUAGCCAUGACAAGAUUCACAAGAAAGUUCACAGUGCACAAGUUUGAUAUCAAGAACACACAAUAAAAAUACUGCAGGCAAACUAGGGGAUCAGGGGCCAAUGACCAAUGCUCUUAUAUAAUUUUCACAAACAGUAAACACUUAACACUAAGUAUAAGAGGCAGAAUCACAAAGAACAGAGAUAUCAAUUCCUAUAGACUCUACUAUAAAAACUAAUUACAGAAUGCAGGAAAGAUCUCACCAAACGAGUUUGAUAAAACUCAAUUUCCACCAGCCAAUGUUU